UCCGAGUUGACCCCGGCAGUAUCCCAUGAGUUCCCACCAUUACGUGCUGGCAACAUAGGACGAGGGUUGCGCUCGUUGCGGGACUUAACCCAACAUCUCACGACACGAGCUGACGACAACCAUGCACCACCUGUGCAGGGCCCUUGCGGACCCCGUAUCUCUACGAGAUUUCCCUGCAUGUCAAGCCUUGGUAAGGUUCUUCGCGUUGCGUCGAAUUAAACCACAUGCUCCACCGCUUGUGCAGGCCCCCGUCAAUUCCUUUGAGUUUUAGCCUUGCGGCCGUACUCCCCAGGCGGGGUGCUUAAUGCGUUAGCUUCGGCACCGAAACCCUAAGGGCCCCGACAGCUAGUCAUCAUCGUUUACGGCGUGGACUAC
rnacentral:misc_RNA from 1 species